rnacentral:rRNA from 1 species
CCCUUAGAUGUCCUGGGCCGCACGCGCGUUACACUGACGCAUUCAACGAGCUUAUAACCUUGGCCGAGAGGCCUGGGCAAUCUUGUUAACGUGCAUCGUGAUAGGGAUAGAUUAUUGAAAUUAUUAAUCUUGAACGAGGAAUUCCUAGUAAACGCAGAUCAUCAAUCUGCAUUGAUUACGUCCCUGCCCUUUGUACACACCGCCCGUCGCACCUACCGAUUGGAUGGUCCGGUGAAGCCUCGGGAUUGUGGUUCUUGCCGCUUUGUUGUGGCGUGACCGCGAGAACUUGUCUAAACCUUAUCAUCUAGAGGAAGGUGAAGUCGUAACA